UGGGGAAUUUUCCGCAAUGGGCGAAAGCCUGACGGAGCAAUACCGCGUGAGGGAGGAAGGCUCUUGGGUUGUAAACCUCUUUUCUCAGGGAAGAACAGAAUGACGGUACCUGAGGAAUAAGCAUCGGCUAACUCCGUGCCAGCAGCCGCGGUAAUACGGAGGAUGCAAGCGUUAUCCGGAAUGAUUGGGCGUAAAGGGUCCGCAGGUGGCAUUGUAAGUCUGCUGUUAAAGAGUUUGGCUCAACCAAAUAAGAGCAGUGGAAACUACAAAGCUAGAGUGUGGUCGGGGCAGAGGGAAUUCCUGGUGUAGCGGUGAAAUGCGUAGAUAUCAGGAAGAACACCAGUGGCGAAGGCGCUCUGCUAGGCCG
rnacentral:rRNA from 1 species